CAUUGCUUAAAAUAUAUGUCCAUAUAUGCAUAACUGUUGUUUAAAAUUGUAUAAAACCAAGUCUUCGGUUGCGACGAGUAGUCAUUCGAGGGUCAGAUCGCAAUGUGGAUGCAGUGAUGUGUAUCAUUCGAAAUUAGAAAAUACUAUUUUUGCCACAAGUCUAAUUCAGCCGGUGCGCGUUCCGGGCUUAAUUGAAUGAAAUUGACGAAGCCAAGCAAUCUGCGCUGGCCGGUCUUCAAUUGAUUGCUUGAGUAAUAAUAAUUUUUUGUGUGCGUUUUCAAUGUGGACUUGAAUGUGGACAGUUUAAGAACUUCAGACCCAUGUGAUGAAAGCGUUUUUAUUGUAAAUAAUGCUGAAAAUACUUACACAUACAGCCUACGAACUGCAAACAAUUUAGCCUCCAUAAAAACCAAAACAUGAUUCAUUAUGUGGUAUAAAUGCGGCGAAAUAAAUAGCGAUUGCAAGAAAUCAAAAACGAAUACAAUGCAAAGUGAAAUAACUUCAACAUAGAAAUAAAAAUCACGCCACUUUCAAAUUGACGUAUUGUACAUUUAAACAUGCCUACAAACCUACAUUGUACAUUAAUAUUUGGAUAUUAUUUCAUCGCCAAAUUUCAAAAAAUUUAAUUAGCGCAUUAGUGGAUUUUCGUUAAAUAUGGUUUAAAAUGGUGCUAAGGUCGAAAUUGUUAUAUACUUAUAUGUAUAUGUAUAAAAAAUCUAAAAAGUCGUAAUUGAGUUUCUUUAUUGAAUAUGAUUUACUACAUCAUAUGUACUU